UACGGGGGGGGCAAGCGUUGUUCGGAUUUACUGGGCGUAAAGGGCGCGUAGGCGGCGCGACAAGUCACUUGUGAAAUCUCCGGGCUUAACCCGGAGCGGCCAAGUGAUACUGUCGUGCUGGAGUGCGGAAGGGGCCACCGGAAUUCUCGGUGUAGCGGUGAAAUGCGUAGAUAUCGAGAGGAACACCUGCGGCGAAGGCGGGUGGGUGGGCCGACACUGACGCUGAGGUGCGAGAGCGUGGGGAGCGAACCGG
rnacentral:rRNA from 1 species